GACUACCGGGGUAUCUAAUCCCAUUCGCUACCCACGCUUUCGUGCAUUAAUGUCAGGAGUGUUCCAGUCAACCGCCUUCGCAUCUGGUGUUCUUGCCAAUAUUAACACAUUUUACCGUUACACUGGCAAUUCCGUUGACCUCUCCCACCCUCUAGUCUGCCAGUUUCCGUGGCAGCCUUAAUGUUGAGCAUUAAGAUUUAACCACAAAUUUAACAGACCAUCUGCGCACGCUUUACGCCCAAUAAAUCCGGAUAACGCUCGGAGUCUCUGUAUUACCGCUGCUGCUGGCACAGAGUUAGCAACUCCUUAUUCCUAAGGUACCGUCAUAAGUUCGUCCCCUAGAAAAGACCUUUACAUCCCGAAAGACUUAAUCAGUCACGCGGCAUCGCUCCUUCAGGCUUUCGCCCAUUGAGGAAUAUUCUCGACUGCAGCCCCCCGUAGG
rnacentral:rRNA from 1 species